GUGUUUGCUGUUGCGACACACAUACUAAAAUUGGAUCGAUACAGAGAAGAUUAGCAUGGCUCACAUGCGCAAGGAUGAUACGCAUAAUUGUGAAGCAUCCAACUUUUCA